GAUUAACGCUAGCGGCAGGCCUAAUACAUGCAAGUUGUACGGGAUUAUUGGUAGCAAUACUGAUAUGAGAGUAGCGCACGGGUGCGUAACACGUAUGCAACCUACCUUUAACUGGGGAAUAGCUCACCGAAAGGUGAAUUAACACCGCAUAAAAUCACAGAAGGACAUCCUUUAAUGAUUAAAUCUCCGGAGGUUAAAGAUGGGCAUGCGUCCGAUUAGCUAGUUGGCGGGGAAUAGCCCACCAAGGCAACGAUCAGUAGGGGUCUGAGAGGAUGAUCCCCCACACUGGUACUGAGACACGGACCAGACUCCUACGGGAGGCAGCAGUAAGGAAUAUUGGACAA
rnacentral:rRNA from 1 species